GCCUUUGGGGUGUAAUGAUCAGCACACUCGGCGCAUAUUUGAGAGGUCCAAGGUUCAAGUCCCGGCGAGGGCA
rnacentral:tRNA from 1 species